ACCCAAGUUGGAUUGUUAAUAACCUUGGUUCUGUCUCAUUUCAUACCAGCAGUGGAGACCUUGUUAUCAAUUGCCCAUCUCAACAGUCUCAACUGGCUGUAGUGUGAAUUGUAUGGUUCUAUUGUGUGGUCGAUCUUUAUCCAAGUGCUGGGUACCACAAUGAAGAGGAGAGCCAGUCACCUGAGUUUCUACUAUAGGGCCUGUUGGUUAUGGGCCAAGUUGGAGAAUGUGAUCCCUUUCUGGCAGUGUGUUUGAAGUGGAACUCAAGUCCUAUAUUUUUAGCUGUUCCAGGAAUGCUGUUCUGUGUCCUAGAAUAGCUCCCCCAGCCCUUACAUGACCCUCUCAAAGCCAUCAGUCUGUGUCUCAACUGCAUCAUUCACCGAGGAUGUUAUGAAAUGUAGAUUUCUGAGUACUGCUCUGUACCCAUGAGUUAGAAUUACUGGGAAAGGUAGAAUACAGAGCAAGGGGAUUUUAUAUAUGUUAAAAUUUCAAGCCAUUGCUAACCAAGAUGAUGGAAGAAUAUGAUCAAGAAGUGAAGGGAAGAAAAAGAGAGGGAUAAGCAUCAGAAAAGAAUUAAUAUGUGAAUACUGUUGUGCUAUAAAGUAGGAUGAACUUGAGUCAUUUGUUGAACCACAAUGUUAAGUGAAGUAAAUUAGACACACAAGCUUAAAUGUUUCAUUGUUACAUGAGAAACCAAAAUUAUGAGUAGUAAAAUAAACAUGAUAAUAAUAAGAAGAGAGAUCUUUCUCAAAUGGGAAGAAGAGCAAGAUAUGGAGGUGGACGGAGCAAAGGAGAUGACAAAUAAUUAUGAUGUGCUGUGUAUAUGUACCAAUUCCCCACAAGGAACAUAAAGUUUAUGUGUUAUGUACUAAAAUUAAAAAAAAAUAAAAUUUAAAAGCUAUGUUCUGUACUUAUAUGAACUCUUUAUAGUGAAUAUAACCAGUAUAUCUGGCAAAUGUGCACUUUAAAUAAAGUCAUAAU